AACGAACGCUGGCGACAGGCCUAACACAUGCAAGUCGAGCGAGGACUUCGGUUCUAGCGGCGGACGGGUGAGUAACGCGUGGGAAUGUGCCCUUCUCUACGGAAUAGCCCUGGGAAACUGGGAGUAAUACCGUAUACGCCCUAUUGGGGAAAGAUUUAUCGGAGAAGGAUCAGCCCGCGUUGGAUUAGGUAGUUGGUGGGGUAAUGGCCUACCAAGCCGACGAUCCAUAGCUGGUUUGAGAGGAUGAUCAGCCACACUGGGACUGAGACACGGCCCAGACUCCUACGGGAGGCAGCAGUGGGGAAUCUUAGACAAUGGGGGCAACCCUGAUCUAGCCAUGCCGCGUGAGUGAUGAAGGCCUUAGGGUUGUAAAGCUCUUUCAGCUGGGAAGAUAAUGACGGUACCAGCAGAAGAAGCCCCGGCUAACUCCGUG
rnacentral:rRNA from 1 species